AACUGGCGGUGGAGCACCUGAGAAGGGCUGUGGCUGCCCAGGGAGCACAGGGACGUUGUUUGCAGCUGUGCUCCCCAGCUGAGCAGGACGGCUGGACCCAGAGAGGAGCCUCCAUGGGCUCAUAUAAGAGCCAGCCACGGGAGGGAAAAUCUCUCGGACCUGGGCUGCUUUGUGAGGAGGUGUUCUGUGUGGUCUGAGAGCCCCUUCACCAGUGGACAGUGGGCAGCCCACCCUUCCCUUUGACACCAGUGACCGAUGGAGAGGACCUGUUGUUCUACUGCAGGGAGCCGGGCGCUGCGUUGCGGGGUGGCAGCAAGCUGGGCAGGGCUGCCGCUGGGCAGGCGGUCACUGCUGUGUUUGGGGCGCACACGUGGCAGAGGAGAUCCCACGUGAGCUGUGGGCAGGGAAGGACAGAGCGGAAAGGCAGAAGCGUUCAGCAGCUUGGCAGCGUCCUAGCAAGCACAGGUCACUGGUCCUUUGUUCCACUUCUGUGAGCCCUUGUUGGAAGGCUGCCAUUUCUCAUCCUGCUUUGAUGAUUUCCAGCUUCGUUUGAGGAGCUGCUCUCUGCAGAUCGUGUAAUGAGGAGGAUUUCCUCAUGCAGGAAGAGCUUCCAUCCUUCUCUUUAAGUACUGGGGUGGGUGUUUUCUUCAUUGAACAGUGACUCUGUUUAAUAGUUUUGUUUCUUUAAUUAUGAGUGAUUAACUUUCCCUCUGUUGCUCUCGUGUGAAGUGACAGUUUGUGGCGUCUGUCCUGCAGAAGAAAAAAAGAUGAAUACUGGCAAUGGAUUCUGUGGGCAGUGAAUCUCACUGAGGCUGGUCCAUCUUGCACCAGAUCCUGCUCGGCUCGUUUUGAGAUGCUUUCCUCAGUGCUUUGCCAGUGCUACAGCUGGACUGAGCCUUGCAAGAUCUGCUGUUAAGAGUGGAAAGUCAAAACGUUGCAUAGAUCUCAAGAAAGAAACAAAGCUGAGGGUACCCAGAGCGUUUGAAGGGAUGCUUUAAUUUCUAUGUGCCACUUGAAAAGGAAGAAAGAUGGAGAGAAAGGGGGAAAGAGAAAAUGCUCAGCUGGAGGCUGGAUGGCCGCAGGCCUGAUGCAGCUCCUCUGGCCUUCAGCUUGGUGGGGUUUUCUAUUCUGAAAUGAUGCUUCUCUGAAAGGCAAGCUGUAGCAAUUAAACUGACGCGCAAACUCUCUUGAAUCGUUAUUUUGUGUGGGUAAAGCCUGUCUAAAAUCAGUUUGUUUAGUAUUUUUUCAGUUGGAAAUGACGUUUUUAUAGUCCAGAAUGCAAAUUUAUUCCUCACCAUCAUAUUCUGAUGAAGAGGUGAUAGGACAUAUUGAGCUACAUGCUAUGCAUAUUGCAAGGAGAACAACUAAAUCUGCAUGCAAAGAUGUUUCCUGUAUGCCUGUACUCAGUUUCACUGCCUGUCACAGUCUGAAAGGAAAUCAGUAUUUUUUUUCUCCUAUUUAUGGGCAAUGGCCAUCCAUCCUGCUGCAGGCCUGGUGCUGGUAACAGGGCCAACAAGCAGAGGUGAGCUGAUGUGCUGCAGGAGUGCGCUUGCUGUCUUUUAUACUCGACAUUCACUGCAGAGCUGUUAUUGCAGCACACGUUUCUGGCCCUGUAUCAUACGGCUCGUGGUAACAAGCUGGUAGGCACGGUGAGGAUAUCAGAAGAAGGUCUCCAGCUUGGGCCCAAUGAGUCUGACAUGUGGGAAGGACGAAUGCCAACAUUUCAUUUCCUUCCCUGGUGUUGAUUUUCUGCAAAUCUUUGAACAAAACUGGAGUUUGGCCAUGGUUGCAGUCUUGUUCUGACUGCUGUUUUCCAAAUUGCGUUGGUUGUGUUGGAUGUGAUGCUUCCUCCUGCUUUCAAGAAGAAGACUACUCAGUAAAUCAUGUGAUUUUAGUUUUUACCCUUUUGCUUUGCCUUAAGUAAUAUUAGCAAAUGCUACAGAGAUAAGUGUAAUUUCAGAAUCUAAAAGAUAUUUCAGUUUUCUGCUUCAUUUUUGUCCUAUUUUGUCAGACUGUCAGAUUUUGGCAGUGCUGACAGUGAGCAUCAUUCCUGUUUGUCUUGGGACAAGAUCUUCUGAGUCCUGCAGUGUGGUGUGGGUAGGGAGAAAGAGCAAGCAAGGAGUCUGAAGCUACUGGGUGUCUGUAUCCAACCUUCCAUCCCAUGUGGUUGGUUUCUUCUCACUGGUGACAGGACGAGGUGAAAUGGCGUCAGUGUGCCAGGGUAAGUUUAGGU